rnacentral:rRNA from 1 species
GUCACACCAUGAGAGUUUGUAACACCCAAAGCCGGUGGGGUAACCUUUUGGAGCCAGCCGUCUAAGGUGGGACAGAUGAUUAGGGUGAAGUCGUAACAAGGUACC